CCUACGGGUGGCAGCAGUGAGGAAUAUUGGACAAUGGACGAGAGUCUGAACCAGCCAAGUCGCGUGAAGGAUGAAUGCCCUCUGGGUUGUACACUUCUUUUAUAAAGGAAUAAAACGAGGCACGUGUGCCUUUUUGCAUGUACUUUAUGAAUAAGGAUCGGCUCACUCCGUGCCAGCAGCCGCGGUAAUACGGAGGAUCCGAGCGUUAUCCGGAUUUAUUGGGUUUAAAGGGAGCGUAGAUGGGUUGUUAAGUCAGUUGUGAAAGUUUGCGGCUCAACCGUAAAAUUGCAAGUGAUACUGGCAGUCGUGAGUACAGUAGAGGUAGGCGGAAUUCGGGGUGUAGCGGUGAAAUGCGUAGAUAUCACGAAGAACCCCGAUUGCGAAGGCAGCUUACUAAACUGUGACUGACAUUGAGGCGCGAAAGUGUGGGUAUCAAACAGGAUUAGAUACCCUAGUAGUC
rnacentral:rRNA from 1 species